UACAGAGGCCCCAAGCGUUACUGAGAAUCACUGGGUUUAAAGGGCGCGUAGGCGGGCAAGCAAGUCGAAGGUGAAAUCCCACGGCUCAACCGUGGAAGUGCCCCCGAUACUGCUUGUCUCGAGGGAGAUAGGGGCGUGCGGAACUUCCGGUGGAGCGGUGAAAUGCGUAGAUAUCGGAAGGAACACCGGUGGCGAAAGCGGCGCGCUGGAUCUCUUCUGACGCUGAGGCGCGAAAGCCAGGGGAGCAAACGGG
rnacentral:rRNA from 1 species